rnacentral:rRNA from 1 species
CAGAAACCAACAGGGAUUGCCCUAGUAACGGCGAGUGAAGCGGCAACAGCUCAAAUUUGAAAUCUGGCUCCUUUGGUGCCCGAGUUGUAAUUUGCAGAGGGUGCUUUGGUGUUGGCUGUGGUCCAAGUUCCCUGGAACAGGACGUCACAGAGGGUGAGAACCCCGUACGUGGCCGCCAGUCUUCGCCGUGUAAAGCCCCUUCGAUGAGUCGAGUUGUUUGGGAAUGCAGCUCUAAAUGGGAGGUAAAUUCCUUCUAAAGCUAAAUAUUGGCCAGAGACCGAUAGCGCACAAGUAGAGUGAUCGAAAGAUGAAAAGCACUUUGGAAAGAGAGUGAAAUAGCACGUGAAAUUGUUGAAAGGGAAGCGCUUGGAGCCAGACGUGCCCGUAGUUGCUCAGCCGGGGUUCUCCCCGGUGCACUCUUCUGCGGGCAGGCCAGCAUCAGUUUGGGCGGUUGGACAAAGGCCUGCUAAACGUACCUCCCCCCGGGGAGGACUUAUAGGGUAGGCGGCAUACGACCAGCCCGGACUGAGGACCGCGCAUCUGCUAGGAUGCUGGCGUAAUGGCUGUAAGCGGCCCGUCUUGAAACACGGACCAAGGAGUCUAACAUCUAUGCGAGUGUUUGGGUGUCAAGCCCGAGCGCGCAAUGAAAGUGAACGCAGGUGGGAGCCUCUCGGGGCGCACCAUCGACCGAUCCUGAUGUCUUCGGAAGGAUUUGAGUAAGAGCAUAGCUGUUGGGACCCGAAAGAUGGUGAACUAUGCCUGAAUAGGGUGAAGCCAGAGGAAACUCUGGUGGAGGCUCGCAGCGGUUCUGACGUGCAAAUCGAUCGUCAAAUUUGGGCAUAGGGGCGAAAGACUAAUCGAACUAUCUAGU